rnacentral:rRNA from 1 species
AGAGUUUGAUCAUGGCUCAGGAUGAACGCUGGCGGAGUGCCUAACACAUGCAAGUCGAGCGGCAGCGCGAGUAGUUUACUACUUGGCGGCGAGCGGCGGACGGCUGAGUAACGCGUGGGAACAUGCCCCAAAGUGAGGAAUAACUGCCCGAAAGGGUAGCUAAUGCCGCAUACGAUCUUCGGAUUAAAGGAUUUAUCCGCUUUGGGAGUGGCCUGCGUACGAUUAGAUAGUUGGUGAGGUAAUGGGCUCACCAAGUCUACGAUCGUUAACUGGUUUGAGAGGAUGAUCAGUCAGACUGGAACUGAGACACGGUCCAGACUCCUACGGGAGGCAGCAGUGAGGAAUCUUCCACAAUGGACGAAAGUCUGAUGGAGCAACUCCGCGUGCAGGAUGAAGGCCUUCGGGUCGUAAACUGCUUUUAUGAGUGAAGAAUAUGACGGUAACUCAUGAAUAAGGGUCGGCUAACUACGUG